CGCUACUACCGAUUGAAUGGUUUGGUGAGGCUUCCGGAUUGACCUAAGAACGAGGGCGACCUUGAUCUGGGGUUGAAAAGCUAGUCAAACCUAAUCAUUUAGAGGAAGUAAAAGUCGUAACAAGGUUUCCGUAGGUGAACCUGCGGAAGGAUCAUUAAAAAUUUAAUUGUUUACACGUUUACGUUUAACAUAUACAACUAACCAACUUAAUUAUGUCAACAACAACAACCAAAAAUCAAAACUUUCAACAACGGAUCUCUUGGUUCUCGCAUCGAUGAAGAACGCAGCGAAAUGCGAUAAGUAAUAUGAAUUGCAGAUUUUCGUGAAUCAUCGAAUCUUUGAACGCACAUUGCACCUUGUGGUAUUCCACAAGGUAUGCCUGUUUGAGCGUCAUUUCUCCCUCAACCCCCGCGGGUUGGCGUUGAAUGGCACGAGCUCUUAGUCAGUCCAUUCGAAAAGUAUUUUUCUUGUGUUGUUAUUUUCUAAUUUAGUAGUGACAACCACACUAAAAACACAUUUUCCUCAAAUCAGGUAGGACU
rnacentral:rRNA from 1 species